GAUGAGCAUUUCAGGCUGAGCCAGCCACUCUCUACUCAAGGGCACUCUCAACUUCUUCCUCAACAUCGUCCCACCCACCCCCAUGCCCUCCCCAGCAUGGCUUGGCCAUGCUAUCCUCAUUCCUCCUUCUGUCUCCCUCCUCCACUCUGCCCCCACUGCUCCCCUGAGUUUGCUCAGGACCAGCCACCCCGACCUCCAAUCUGCUGUCUCACCCUCCCUGGCCCAGCCCGGUGAGGCAGGCAGGGAGGAGUUUCCAGGCAGGAAAGGGCUGAGUCACUGGCCACACAUCUGGUCUCAGAUCUUGAUACCCAGCUGGAAGGGGUAGGAAGGAAGAGGCUCCUCCCUCCCCCUCCCUCCCACAAGCUCUCCUCACGUUACCUGCUGGGAGGGGCGGGCUGGGAGAGGAGAGCCCCUGCUCUACUAAUGACCAGAAUUUGCUGGGCUGCUUUACUCACUCUGGAUCCUUUACUUCUGUGACCACCUCUUCUGCUCAGAACAGCCCUGAAAAGUAGGGUUUGUCAUCUGUGUUUCACAGUUCUGGAAGCUUGCCAAGGGCUGUAACCUGAGGGGCAAGAAGGAGCAGUCCUCGAGAUCCCGGGAUAGGGCCAUCCCAGGAUUCCAAAUGCCUUCCUAGAAGUUGCUUCCAGCCUACAGAAUCCCAGAGAUGGGACACUGAAAGUGCAGCCCUGGGACCUGUGUCAUGCCCACGUGGUCCCUGGCCAUAGCCAAACCAGCCACAUCCUGUCUUCAUGAUCCAGGGAGCAGGUCGUGAGAUGGAGGAGCUAGAGGCAAAGGGAUCAGUAACAGCCCGGAAGGAGAGCCCAGCUAAGGGCCUUCUCCGUCAGCUUCCAUAGCGGCUCUGGGCCUGCUCCACCAGCAGAACGAAUGCUGAGAUGAUGCUGCAGGCAGAGAGGCAGUUAGUUCACCCUUUGGCUGGCCAGGACCCAAGCCAGGGACUGGAACACAAGAGCAGGCAUUGGUCCCUCCCUGAUCCCCUGAACAAGAGCUGCACUGUGCACACCCCUCCCAUUCCCCUACCCCGCCCCUCAGGCCAGGACAAGGUCAGGCAGGGCCACCCAUGGAGGCCGGAAACAGGAGGACAGCCAGGCAGCAAGGAACAAGGGAGAGAGGCUUUGAGUUCCAGGAUCAGGGAUACACAGACAGGCCUGCGGGCAGAGAGAGUCUGGGGUGGCAGGGGUGGCCACCAGGUGUUCCAAAUGUGUCCGGGACACAGAGGAGCAGACCCAUGUGAGAGAGACCCAAGCCCAUAGGUGCAGCAGCAGGGAGGUUGAUUGAUUCUGGAGAUAAGGACGACCCUGGACAAGGACACGGGAUUCACAGGCCCCACCGCACAGCCACAGCCUUCAGCAGAGCCCCAAGGCUCCUUGGCUGACCUCAUUCACUUGUCCAUCAACUGAGUCACCGCAGCUCAACACUGCCAGCCCCGUGUUGGGCACUAGGGGGAAAGAAGUGAAAAGGCACUGUCCCCAGCUUCAUGCAAGCAGCUGAACCCAGGAUCUAGAUUUAAGGGAGUUGUUUAUGGGGCACCUGGGUGACUCAGUCGGUUAAGCGUCCGACUUUGGCUCCGGUCAUGAUCUCACAGCUCGUGAGUUCGAGCUCCGCAUCAGGGUUUGUGCUGACAGCUCAGAGCCGGGA